CACGUAGGGUGCGAGCGUUGUCCGGAAUUAUUGGGCGUAAAGAGCUCGUAGGCGGUGUGUCGCGUCGGCCGUGAAAACCUGCAGCUUAACUGUGGGCUUGCGGUCGAUACGGGCAUCACUGGAGUUCGGCAGGGGAGACUGGAAUUCCUGGUGUAGCGGUGAAAUGCGCAGAUAUCAGGAGGAACACCGAUGGCGAAGGCAGGGUCUCUGGGCCACUACUGACGCUGAGAAGCGAAAGCGUGGGGAGCAAACAGG
rnacentral:rRNA from 1 species